rnacentral:rRNA from 1 species
AGCAGCCGCGGUAAUUCCAGCUCCAAUAGCGUAUAUUAAAGUUGUUGCAGUUAAAAAGCUCGUAGUUGAAUUUCGGGAUCAGUUCGCUGGUCGUGCCUCUGGUAUGUACUGGUGUUACUGGUUCCUCCCUUCUGACGAACUGUCAUGUCAUUUAUUUGGUGUGGCAGGGAAUCAGGACUGUUACUUUGAAAAAUUAGAGUGUUUAAAGCAGGCUCGCGCUUGAAUACAUUAGCAUGGAAUAAUGAAAUAGGACGUUCGAUCCUAUUUUGUUGGUUUCUAGGAUUGACGUAAUGAUUAAUAGGGAUAGUUGGGGGCAUUAGUAUUCAAUUGUCAGAGGUGAAAUUCUUGGAUUUAUUGAAGACUAACUACUGCGAAAGCAUUUGCCAAGGAUGUUUUCAUUAAUCAAGAACGAAAGUUAGGGGAUCGAAGACGAUCAGAUACCGUCGUAGU